rnacentral:tRNA from 1 species
AGUAAAAUGGCUGAAGUUUAGGCAAUAAAUUGUAAAUUUAUUUAUAAGAUUAUUUCUUUUUUACUA